UGGCGGAACGCUUUACACAUGCAAGUCGAACGGUUACGCGGAGAGAAGCUUGCUUCUCUCCGGCGACGAGUGGCGAACGGGUGAGUAAUACAUCGGAACGUGUCCGCUCGUGGGGGACAACCAGCCGAAAGGUUGGCUAAUACCGCAUGAGUUCUACGGAAGAAAGAGGGGGACCCGCAAGGGCCUCUCGCGAGCGGAGCGGCCGAUGACUGAUUAGCCGGUUGGUGAGGUAACGGCUCACCAAAGCAACGAUCAGUAGCUGGUCUGAGAGGACGACCAGCCACACUGGGACUGAGACACGGCCCGGACUCCUACGGGAGGCAGCAGUGGGGAAUUUUGGACAAUGGGCGCAAGCCUGAUCCAGCUAUUCCGCGUGUGGGAUGAAGGCCCUCGGGUUGUAAACCACUUUUGUAGAGAACGAAAAGACACCUUCGAAUAAAGGGUGUUGCUGACGGUACUCUAAGAAUAAGCACCGGCUAACUACGUGCCAGCAGCCGCGGUAAUACGUAGGGCGCGAGCGUUAAUCGGAAUUACUGGGCGUAAAGGGUGCGCAGGCGGUUGAGUAAGACAGAUGUGAAAUCCCCGAGCUUAACUCGGGAAUGGCAUAUGUGACUGCUCGACUAGAGUGUGUCAGAGGGAGGUGGAAUUCCACGUGUAGCAGUGAAAUGCGUAGAUAUGUGGAAGAACACCGAUGGCGAAGGCAGCCUCCUGGGACAUAACUGACGCUCAGGCACGAAAGCGUGGGGAGCAAACAGGAUUAGA
rnacentral:rRNA from 1 species